rnacentral:rRNA from 1 species
UACAGAGGGUGCGAGCGUUGUCCGGAAUCACUGGGCGUAAAGGGCGCGUAGGUGGCGGCCCAAGUCCAUGGUGAAAGCUCGAUGCUCAACAUCGAGUCGGCCACGGAUACUGGGUUGCUCGAGCACUGUAGGGGCAGAUGGAAUUCCGGGUGUAGCGGUGGAAUGCGUAGAGAUCCGGAAGAACACCGGUGGCGAAGGCGGUCUGCUGGGCAGUUCCUGACACUGAGGCACGAAGGCCAGGGGAGCAAACGGG